rnacentral:lncRNA from 1 species
AUCAAAAUCAUUCCAUACCUCACUUUUUGGCUUCUUUGUUGGAGGUUGUGUUGAAUCUGCAGCAUCUUGCCCAUCAUGAGUUGAAUCAUUUAGUGAGAGACCUUCAGGUGUAGGAUUAGAAGAUCCUUCCGGACUUGGUUCAUACAUGCUUUUCUGUGUAGGAUUAGAAGUUCCUUUCCGGAGUUGUGUUCACUUGAUCCAUUUUCGUGUCUCCCAUAACUAUCAAGGUUCCAGUCCAUCAAACAUUCGACAAGUACUUGACAAAGUCUUUCACUAGUGUGAGGGGCUGGAACAUAAAUGAACCUAAAAUAACAAGGAACAUAAAUAACUAACUUACAUUUAAAAAUUUUAUCAUACAAAAACAGCUAGUAGGAUAAAAGAAAUUUAAACUUUAUUACCUCAAAAUUCGACUUUGUAAAGUCCAAGUGCCAUCAAUGUAGUGAACUGUGACCGCCAUGUAAUCCUUUUUUUGGUUGCUUGCAGUCCACAUGUCUGUGGUAAUGGCCACUCUUCCUUCAUGAGUGUCUAGCAUCUUCAUAGUACAUUGCCUCUCAAUAUCAUAGAUUUUCAAAAUCUCCUUCUUGAUAGUGUUUCGACUAGGAACUAGAAACAAUGGUUGGAGAGAACCUAAUAUUCUCCUAAAACCAAUAUGAUCCACUAUUGAUAGUGGAUAAUCAUGCAUGACAAUUGCAUUUGCAAUCAACUUCUUUGUUUUCUCUGCAUCAUAAUUUCCAAAGCCUAUCUCUUGCUUGCCUUGGAUGGCUUUAGGCAUGAUGAAUGUUUGCCCUUUGUUAUGGCCUCUCGUCUUAAUCAACUUCUGAGUACACCUAUUUGCAUGGCCACGCAAGUGAGUUGUUCCAUACGUUGAAUUGCCACUAAGAUGUUUCUUGCACCACUUGCAUACCGCCUUUACUUCCCCAUUCACUUUAACCUUAUCAAAAUCAUUCCAUACCUCACUUUUUGGCUUCUUUGUUGGAGGUUGUGUUGAAUCUGCAGCAUCUUGCCCAUCAUGAGUUGAAUCAUUUAGUGAGGGACCUUCAGGUGUAGGAUUAGAAGAUCCUUCCGGACUUGGUUCAUACAUGCUUUCUUGUGAAGGAUUAGAAGUUCCUUCCGGAGUUGUGUUCACUUGAUCCAUUUUCCCUAUAACAUCAAUAACAAAAUCAGAAAAAGUAAACAACAAUGUUUG